rnacentral:rRNA from 1 species
UGAGGAAUCUUGCGCAAUGGGGGAAACCCUGACGCAGCGACGCCGCGUGCGGGAGGAAGGCCUUCGGGUCGUAAACCGCUUUUCUGGGGGACGAGGAAGGACGGUACCCCAGGAAUAAGUCCCGGCUAACUACGUGCCAGCAGCCGCGGUAAAACGUAGGGGGCGAGCGUUAUCCGGAAUUACUGGGCGUAAAGGGCGUCUAGGCGGCAGCCUAUGUCCCGCGUGAAAGCUCCCGGCUCAACUGGGAGAGGGCGUGGGAAACUGGGCAGCUAGAGACUCGGAGAGGGGUGUGGAAUUCCCGGUGGAGUGGUGAAAUGCGUUGAGAUCGGGAGGAACACCAGUGGCGAAGGCGGCACCCUGGCCGAGGUCUGACGCUGAAGCGCGACAGCGUGGGGAGCGAACGGGAUUAGAUACCCCCGUAGUCC